UAGGGAAUCUUCGGCAAUGGGGGGAACCCUGACCGAGCAACGCCGCGUGAGUGAAGAAGGUUUUCGGAUCGUAAAGCUCUGUUGUUAAGGAAGAACGAGUGUGAGAAUGGAAAGUUCAUGCUGUGACGGUACUUAACCAGAAAGGGACGGCUAACUACGUGCCAGCAGCCGCGGUAAUACGUAGGUCCCGAGCGUUGUCCGGAUUUAUUGGGCGUAAAGCGAGCGCAGGCGGUUAGAAAAGUCUGAAGUGAAAGGCAGUGGCUCAACCAUUGUAGGCUUUGGAAACUGGUUGACUUGAGUGCAGAAGAGGAGAGUGGAAUUCCAUGUGUAGCGGUGAAAUGCGUAGAUAUAUGGAGGAACACCAGUGGCGAAGGCGACUCUCUGGUCUGUAACUGACGCUGAGGCUCGAAAGCGUGGGUAGCAAACAGG
rnacentral:rRNA from 1 species